AGCAACGCCGCGUGAGUGAAGAAGGUUUUCGGAUCGUAAAGCUCUGUUGUAAGAGAAGAACGUGUGUGACAGUGGAAAGUUCACACAGUGACGGUAACUUACCAAAAAGGGACGGCUAACUACUUGCCACCACCCGCGGUAAUACUUAGGUCCCGAGCGUUGUCCGGAUUUAUUGGGCGUAAAGCGAGCGCAGGCGGUUUAAUAAUUCUGAAGUUAAAGGCAGUGGCUUAACCAUUGUUCGCUUUGGAAACUGUUAAACUUGAGUGCAGAAGGGGAGAGUGGAAUUCCAUGUGUAGCGGUGAAAUGCGUAGAUAUAUGGAGGAA
rnacentral:rRNA from 1 species